rnacentral:rRNA from 1 species
UACGAGGGGGGCAAGCGUUGUUCGGAUUUAUUGGGCGUAAAGGGUGCGUAGGCGGUUUGGCAAGUCUUGUGUGAAAUCUUCGGGCUCAACCCGAAGCCUGCAUAAGAAACUGCCGGGCUUGAGUAUGGGAGAGGUGAGUGGAAUUUCCGGUGUAGCGGUGAAAUGCGUAGAUAUCGGAAGGAACACCUGUGGCGAAAGCGGCUCACUGGACCAUAACUGACGCUGAUGCACGAAAGCUAGGGGAGCAAACAGG